UUGCCAUGGGGGAACCCUGAUGCAGCCAUGCCGCGUGUGUGAAGAAGGCCUUCGGGUUGUAAAGCACUUUCAGCGAGGAGGAAAGGUUGGUAGCUAAUAACUGCCAGCUGUGACGUUACUCGCAGAAGAAGCACCGGCUAACUCCGUGCCAGCAGCCGCGGUAAUACGGAGGGUGCAAGCGUUAAUCGGAAUUACUGGGCGUAAAGCGCACGCAGGCGGUUGGAUAAGUUAGAUGUGAAAGCCCCGGGCUCAACCUGGGAAUUGCAUUUAAAACUGUCCAGCUAGAGUCUUGUAGAGGGGGGUAGAAUUCCAGGUGUAGCGGUGAAAUGCGUACAGAUCUGGAGGAAUACCGG
rnacentral:rRNA from 1 species